GAUGAACGCUGGCGGCGUGCUUAACACAUGCAAGUCGAACGGCAACGCACCUGCUUGCUGGGGUACUCGAGUGGCGAACGCGGGAGUAACACGUAGGCGAUCUGCUCUGCAUUUUGGGAUAAGCCUGCGUAACUGAGCCUACUCCCGGAUAGGACGAUGCCUUCGAUGCCAUUGUGGAGAGUUUCUCGGCUUGGGAUGAGCUCGCGGCCUAUCGCCUUUUUGGUGGGUGACUGGCCUACCGACGCCUAGAGGGGUAGUCGGCCUUGGAGGGUGUACGGUGACAUUGGGACUGAGAGACGGCCCAGAGUCGUACGGGAGGCAACAGUGGGGAAUAUUGUACAAUGAGCGCAAGCCUGAUGCAGAGACGCCGCGGGGGGGAUGACGGCCUUCGGGUUGUGAACACCUGUCGCUAGGGACGAAGCGGAAGUGACGGUACCUGGAGAAGAAGCACCGGCUAACUACGUG
rnacentral:rRNA from 1 species